rnacentral:miRNA from 1 species
GGAGGAUUGCUUGAGCCCAAGAAGUUGAGACUACAGUGAGCUGUGAUCAUACCACUGCACUCCAGCCUGAGUGACAGAGCAAGACCCUGUCUC